AGAUCAGGCCUUCGGACAGAAGAGACAGGUGGUGCAUGGUUGUCGUCAGCUCGUGUCGUGAGAUGUUGGGUUAAGUCCCGCAACGAGCGCAACCCUUAUCAUUAGUUGCUAACAUUCAGUUGAGAACUCUAAUGAGACUGCCAGUGAUAAACUGGAGGGAAGGUGGGAUGACGUCAAAUCAUCAUGCCCUUAUGACCUGGGCUACACACGUGCUACAAUGGCCGGUACAAAGAGUUGCGAAACUGUGAAGUUAAGCUAAUCUCAUAAAGCCGGUCUCAGUUCGGAUUGUAGUCUGCAACUCGACUACAUGAAGUCGGAAUCGCUAGUAAUCGCGAAUCAGAAUGUCGCGGUGAAUACGUUCUCGAGUCUU
rnacentral:rRNA from 1 species